CCUACGGGUGGCAGAAGUGGGGAAUAUUGGACAAUGGGGGCAACCCUGAUCCAGCCAUGCCGCGUGUGUGAAGAAGGCCCUCGGGUUGUAAAGCACUUUCAGUGAGGAAGAACGCCUGGUGGUUAAUACCCAUCAGGAAAGACAUCACUCACAGAAGAAGCACCGGCUAACUCCGUGCCAGCAGCCGCGGUAAUACGGAGGGUGCGAGCGUUAAUCGGACUUACUGGGCGUAAAGCGCGCGUAGGUGGCUUGAUAAGCCGGUUGUGAAAGCCCCGGGCUCAACCUGGGAACGGCAUCCGGAACUGUCAAGCUAGAGUGCAGGAGAGGAAGGUAGAAUUCCCGGUGUAGCGGUGAAAUGCGUAGAGAUCGGGAGGAAUACCAGUGGCGAAGGCGGCCUUCUGGACUGACACUGACACUGAGGUGCGAAAGCGUGGGUAGCAAACAGGAUUAGAUACCCGAGUAGUC
rnacentral:rRNA from 1 species